UACGGAGGGGGCCAGCGUUAUUCGGAAUUAUUGGGCGUAAAGGGCGCGUAGGCGGCUAGAUGUGUCAAAGGUGAAAUCCCUCGGCUCAACUGAGGAACUGCCUUUGAAACUGUCUGGCUUGAGGCCGGGAGAGGGUAGCGGAAUUCCCAGUGUAGCGGUGAAAUGCGUAGAUAUUGGGAGGAACACCGGUGGCGAAGGCGGGUUGCUGGGCUGAUACUGACGCUGAGGCGCGAAAGCCAGGGGAGCGAACGGG
rnacentral:rRNA from 1 species